UACGUAGGGGGCAAGCGUUGUCCGGAUUUAUUGGGCGUAAAGAGCGUGUAGGCGGUUUGGUAGGUCCGUUGUGAAAACUCGAGGCUCAACCUCGAGACGCCGAUGGAAACCAUCAGACUAGAGUCCGGAAGAGGAGAGUGGAAUUCCUGGUGUAGCGGUGAAAUGCGUAGAUAUCAGGAGGAACACCUGUGGUGUAGACAGCUUACUGGACCAUUUCUGACGCUGAGACACGAAAGCGUGGGUAGCAAACAGG
rnacentral:rRNA from 1 species